AUGUACAUUCCUACAACAUAGAGUUAAUGCACCAGAUCCCAUUAGAACUCCGCAGUUAAGAUUUCUCGGGCUAGAGUAGUAUUGGGAUGGGUGACCGCUCGGGAAUUCAUAGUAUUUUACAUG
rnacentral:rRNA from 1 species